GGGUUGUGAGGUUAAGCGACUAAGCGUACACGGUGGAUGCCCUGGCAGUCAGAGGCGAUGAAGGACGUGCUAAUCUGCGAUAAGCGUCGGUAAGGUGAUAUGAACCGUUAUAACCGGCGAUUUCCGAAUGGGGAAACCCAGUGUGAUUCGUCACACUAUCAUUAACUGAAUCCAUAGGUUAAUGAGGCGAACCGGGGGAACUGAAACAUCUAAGUACCCCGAGGAAAAGAAAUCAACCGAGAUUCCCCCAGUAGCGGCGAGCGAACGGGGAGCAGCCCAGAGCCUGAAUCAGUGUGUGUGUUAGUGGAAGCGUCUGGAAAGGCGCGCGAUACAGGGUGACAGCCCCGUACACAAAAAUGCACAUGCUGUGAGCUCGAUGAGUAGGGCGGGACACGUGGUAUCCUGUCUGAAUAUGGGGGGACCAUCCUCCAAGGCUAAAUACUCCUGACUGACCGAUAGUGAACCAGUACCGUGAGGGAAAGGCGAAAAGAACCCCGGCGAGGGGAGUGAAAAAGAACCUGAAACCGUGUACGUACAAGCAGUGGGAGCACGCUUAGGCGUGUGACUGCGUACCUUUUGUAUAAUGGGUCAGCGACUUAUAUUCUGUAGCAAGGUUAACCGAAUAGGGGAGCCGAAGGGAAACCGAGUCUUAACUGGGCGUUAAGUUGCAGGGUAUAGACCCGAAACCCGGUGAUCUAGCCAUGGGCAGGUUGAAGGUUGGGUAACACUAACUGGAGGACCGAACCGACUAAUGUUGAAAAAUUAGCGGAUGACUUGUGGCUGGGGGUGAAAGGCCAAUCAAACCGGGAGAUAGCUGGUUCUCCCCGAAAGCUAUUUAGGUAGCGCCUCGUGAAUUCAUCUCCGGGGGUAGAGCACUGUUUCGGCAAGGGGGUCAUCCCGACUUACCAACCCGAUGCAAACUGCGAAUACCGGAGAAUGUUAUCACGGGAGACACACGGCGGGUGCUAACGUCCGUCGUGAAGAGGGAAACAACCCAGACCGCCAGCUAAGGUCCCAAAGUCAUGGUUAAGUGGGAAACGAUGUGGGAAGGCCCAGACAGCCAGGAUGUUGGCUUAGAAGCAGCCAUCAUUUAAAGAAAGCGUAAUAGCUCACUGGUCGAGUCGGCCUGCGCGGAAGAUGUAACGGGGCUAAACCAUGCACCGAAGCUGCGGCAGCGACGCUUAUGCGUUGUUGGGUAGGGGAGCGUUCUGUAAGCCUGUGAAGGUGUACUGUGAGGUAUGCUGGAGGUAUCAGAAGUGCGAAUGCUGACAUAAGUAACGAUAAAGCGGGUGAAAAGCCCGCUCGCCGGAAGACCAAGGGUUCCUGUCCAACGUUAAUCGGGGCAGGGUGAGUCGACCCCUAAGGCGAGGCCGAAAGGCGUAGUCGAUGGGAAACAGGUUAAUAUUCCUGUACUUGGUGUUACUGCGAAGGGGGGACGGAGAAGGCUAUGUUGGCCGGGCGACGGUUGUCCCGGUUUAAGCGUGUAGGCUGGUUUUCCAGGCAAAUCCGGAAAAUCAAGGCUGAGGCGUGAUGACGAGGCACUACGGUGCUGAAGCAACAAAUGCCCUGCUUCCAGGAAAAGCCUCUAAGCAUCAGGUAACAUCAAAUCGUACCCCAAACCGACACAGGUGGUCAGGUAGAGAAUACCAAGGCGCUUGAGAGAACUCGGGUGAAGGAACUAGGCAAAAUGGUGCCGUAACUUCGGGAGAAGGCACGCUGAUAUGUAGGUGAAGUCCCUCGCGGAUGGAGCUGAAAUCAGUCGAAGAUACCAGCUGGCUGCAACUGUUUAUUAAAAACACAGCACUGUGCAAACACGAAAGUGGACGUAUACGGUGUGACGCCUGCCCGGUGCCGGAAGGUUAAUUGAUGGGGUCAGCGCAAGCGAAGCUCUUGAUCGAAGCCCCGGUAAACGGCGGCCGUAACUAUAACGGUCCUAAGGUAGCGAAAUUCCUUGUCGGGUAAGUUCCGACCUGCACGAAUGGCGUAAUGAUGGCCAGGCUGUCUCCACCCGAGACUCAGUGAAAUUGAACUCGCUGUGAAGAUGCAGUGUACCCGCGGCAAGACGGAAAGACCCCGUGAACCUUUACUAUAGCUUGACACUGAACAUUGAGCCUUGAUGUGUAGGAUAGGUGGGAGGCUUUGAAGUGUGGACGCCAGUCUGCAUGGAGCCGACCUUGAAAUACCACCCUUUAAUGUUUGAUGUUCUAACGUGGACCCGUAAUCCGGGUUGCGGACAGUGUCUGGUGGGUAGUUUGACUGGGGCGGUCUCCUCCUAAAGAGUAACGGAGGAGCACGAAGGUUGGCUAAUCCUGGUCGGACAUCAGGAGGUUAGUGCAAUGGCAUAAGCCAGCUUGACUGCGAGCGUGACGGCGCGAGCAGGUGCGAAAGCAGGUCAUAGUGAUCCGGUGGUUCUGAAUGGAAGGGCCAUCGCUCAACGGAUAAAAGGUACUCCGGGGAUAACAGGCUGAUACCGCCCAAGAGUUCAUAUCGACGGCGGUGUUUGGCACCUCGAUGUCGGCUCAUCACAUCCUGGGGCUGAAGUAGGUCCCAAGGGUAUGGCUGUUCGCCAUUUAAAGUGGUACGCGAGCUGGGUUUAGAACGUCGUGAGACAGUUCGGUCCCUAUCUGCCGUGGGCGCUGGAGAACUGAGGGGGGCUGCUCCUAGUACGAGAGGACCGGAGUGGACGCAUCACUGGUGUUCGGGUUGUCAUGCCAAUGGCACUGCCCGGUAGCUAAAUGCGGAAGAGAUAAGUGCUGAAAGCAUCUAAGCACGAAACUUGCCCCGAGAUGAGUUCUCCCUGACUCCUUGAGAGUCCUGAAGGAACGUUGAAGACGACGACGUUGAUAGGCCGGAUGUGUAAGCGCAGCGAUGCGUUGAGCUAACCGGUACUAAUGAACCGUGAGGCUUAACCUUACAACGCCGAAGCUGUU
rnacentral:rRNA from 1 species